rnacentral:tRNA from 1 species
GGGCCCAUAGUUCAACGGUAAAACGCUGCAUUCGCAUUGCAGAGGUCCGGGUUCAAUUCCCGGUGGGUCCA